CCUACGGGUUGCAGCAGUAAGGAAUAUUGGUCAAUGGGGGCAACCCUGAACCAGCCAUGCCGCGUGCAGGAUGACUGCCCUAUGGGUUGUAAACUGCUUUUGUUAGGGAAUAAACCCCACUACGUGUAGUGGGCUGAAUGUACCUAAAGAAUAAGGAUCGGCUAACUCCGUGCAGCAGCCGCGGUAAUACGGAGGAUCCGAGCGUUAUCCGGAUUUAUUGGGUUUAAAGGGUGCGUAGGCGGCACUUUAAGUCAGGGGUGAAAGACGGCAGCUCAACUGUCGCAGUGCCCUUGAUACUGAAGUGUUUGAAUGCGGUUGAAGACGGCGGAAUGAGACAAGUAGCGGUGAAAUGCAUAGAUAUGUCUCAGAACACCGAUUGCGAAGGCAGCUGUCUAAGCCGUUAUUGACGCUGAUGCACGAAAGCGUGGGGAUCGGACAGGAUUAGAUACCCUGGUAGUC
rnacentral:rRNA from 1 species